rnacentral:rRNA from 1 species
AACGAACGCUGGCGGCAUGCCUAACACAUGCAAGUCGAACGAGACCUUCGGGUCUAGUGGCGCACGGGUGCGUAACGCGUGGGAACCUGCCCUUAGGUUCGGAAUAACUCCCCGAAAGGGGUGCUAAUACCGGAUAAUGUCUUCGGACCAAAGAUUUAUCGCCUUUGGAUGGGCCCGCGUUGGAUUAGCUAGUUGGUAGGGUAAAAGCCUACCAAGGCGACGAUCCAUAGCUGGUCUGAGAGGAUGAUCAGCCACACUGGCACUGAGACACGGCCCAGACUCCUACGGGAGGCAGCAGUGGGGAAUAUUGGAACAUGGGCGAAAGCCUGAUCCAGCAAUGACGCGUGAGUGAUGAAGGCCUUAGGGUUGUAAAGCUCUUUUACCCGGGAUGAUAAUGACAGUACCGGGAGAAUAAGCUCCGGCUAACUCCGUG